rfam:Citrus clementina cultivar Clemenules unplaced genomic scaffold scaffold_4, whole genome shotgun sequence.
CUGUUUGCAGUUGGAGCACCAUCAAGAUUCACAAACUAUUAGGGUUAGUGAGUGGAGAUAAUGGUGGCUAUUUUAUUUUUUUUGGCCCCUUGCUUCACUUCAAAUUGCUCUUUGUUUUGGAAUCUUGAUGAUGCUGCAGCAGCGAUAAG